rnacentral:lncRNA from 1 species
AAUCAUGGGAGUGGGUCUUUCCCGUGCUGUUCUUGUGAUAGUGAAUGGGUCUCAUGAGAUCUGAUAGUUUUAAAAACGAGAGUGUCUCUGCAUAAGCUCUCUUUUUGCCUGCUGCCAUGCAUGUAAGAUGUGACUUGCUCCUCCUUGCCUUCUGCCAUGAUUGUGAGGCCUCCCCAGCCAUGUGGAACUGUGAGUCCAAUAAACCUCUUUCUUUUGUAAAUUGCACAGUCUUGGGUAUGUCUGCAUGCACAGUAUUGGCAGCGUGAAAAUGGACUUCAAAGGAGGAAUGUGUCACUAUGAGCUCUCUGCCAUGUGAGGGCGCCAUCCCACAAGGGAAGGAGAGGAGAGCUGGCUGGACAGCAGCACUCAUGUACAGAAUGCCAGUGGUCCCGUGGUACAGGCUGUCAUGGAAAUGCAGAGCAGAGCCACAUAUGGCCAUGUCACUCAGGCUCACGGCAGAAGAGACUUCCCUUGUCUUAGAUGAGACUUCAGACUUGGACUUUUGGGUUAAUGCUAGAAUAAGUUAAACUUUGGGAGACUGUUGGGAAGGCAUGAUUGAGUUUUUAAAUGUGAGAAGGCCAUGAGAUUUGGGAGGGGCUGGGGGUGUAAUGAUAUGGUUUGGCUCUUUUUCCCCACCCAAAUCUCUUCUCUAAUUGUAAUCCACAUGUAUCAAGGGAGGGACCUGGUGGGAGGUGAUUGAAUCAUGAGGCAGUUUCCCCUAUACUGUUCUCAUGAUAGUGAAUGAGUUCUUAUGGGAUCUGAUUGUUUAAAAAUAUAGCACUUUCACCUCCCACCUCUCUCCUGUUGCCAUGUAAGGCGUGCCUUGCUUUCCCUUCACCUUCCACCAUGAUUGUAAGUUUCCUGAGGCCUCCCUAACCAUGAGGAACUAUGAGUCAAUUAAACCUCUUUUC